GUUCCGCGUGCGUGACUGAAGCUUAACACAUAACGAAGAACCAGCGUGAAUUUCUGAGGUUUUUUAAUUUAGUCAUCGCUGACUAGUUUUUUGGAGUGUAUUGGAGAUUAUAGGGAAAAUAUCUCUGUGUUCGCCGUUAAUUUCCAUUGCUUCUGGUGUCCAUCGCGGCCUGCCAAUUUGAUCUGAGGCGGAGGUGCUCUUGCGACGCAAAGGAUCUGGAUCCUCAUCCACACCACAAGCCACCCCGUGUUAUUCUUCCUACUCGGGAAAGCAGUCGUAAAAACUGGGCAUACUGCGAAACGGUAUCAGGCUUGAGCAUUGCGGAAGAGCGAGAUCAGAGAAUUGCUGCGAAGAGAAAACUACCGAGAACUACGGCUGCCUUCAAGUGCCAUCGCAUAUCGAGGAGCCCGCUGAGUUGCCUGUUUACUUUUUCCACCGGAAUCGUCUGACUGAUCAGUGCCGGCCGUUCCUCGCUCCGCAGUCUCUGUCCAAGCCAGCUCCUUCCGGUAGUGCGGGGGUAUUGCGGUAACUGACUUUUACAGUUGGUUCAGCAAUCCCAGCAUCGCCUCCUGCCCUCUUUGCCGCGACGUGUCCGUGCCGUAUUCCAGCCACCUGCUGUCCUGCACCUCU